GUGGCAGUUGUUUUCUGUCUUGAUGUCUCAUUACUUUAUGCUAAUAUAACAGCUUACAAGUCACAUCAAGGAUUUAAUUUGAUGGAAAGAAAAGCUACCCAAGGAUGGAAAGACAACUUGACAGUGGGAGUUAAAGAAUAUCAUGUUAUUCUAUACAGUAUGUAUAGAACACCUUCUCCCCCUCUCUCUUUCAGGCUGUGAGGGGAUCCUGAAGACCACACUGGGAGUAUCACACAGCGUCCCUAUGAGACCGACAACGGUUACUACUACCAGAUUAAUGUCAGCAUGUGAAUCUGGACAUAAACUCUAGCCAGAGUCAAGGCAAACUCCCACACAACAGGCAUCACAUCAAAUAUAAGUACAAUUUUUAAGCAUAAGUACCUCAUGUGACCAGAGGGUGGCGUACUUUAUCCAUUCCAUUGCCAAAGAGGAGUCACAGUAGCUGGCCCAGAUUCUCUCCAGCCCAGCCCCAUUCUGUAGACAUGGCCUUUGUUUCACGCUU